rnacentral:rRNA from 1 species
CUACGGGAGGCACCAGUGGGGAAUAUUGGACAAUGGGGGAAACCCUGAUCCAGCAAUGCCGCGUGUGUGAAGAAGGCCUGCGGGUUGUAAAGCACUUUCGGUUGGGAGGACUGCUUCUAGCACUAAUAUUGUUGGAAGUUGACGUUACCUUCAGAAGAAGCACCGGCUAACUCCGUGCCAGCAGCCGCGGUAAUACGGAGGGUGCAAGCGUUAAUCGGAAUUACUGGGCGUAAAGCGCGCGUAGGCGGCUAGAUCAGUCGGGUGUGAAAGCCCCGGGCUUAACCUGGGAACUGCAUCCGAUAAUGUCUAGCUUGAGUACAGGAGAGGAGAGUGGAAUUCCACAUGUAGCGGUGAAAUGCGUAGAUAUGUGGAGGAACACCAAUGGCGAAGGCAGCUCUCUGGCCUGAUACUGACGCUGAGGUGCGAAAGCGUGGGGAGCAAACGGGAUUAGAUACCCUAGUAGUC